ACAAGCCCUGGAAAGGGGGUUUAAUACCGGAUAUGACUUUCUCCCGCAUGGUGGAUGGUGUAAAGUUCCGGCGGUGCAGGAUGAGCCCGCGGCCUAUCAGCUUGUUGGUGAGGUAGUGGCUCACCAAGGCGACGACGGGUAGCCGCCCUGAGAGGGCGACCGGCCACACUGGGACUGAGACACGGCCCAGACUCCUACGGGAGGCAGCAGUGGGGAAUAUUGCACAAUGGGCGAAAGCCUGAUGCAGCGACGCCGCGUGAGGGAUGACGGCCUUCGGGUUGUAAACCUCUUUCAGCAGGGAAGAAGCGAAAGUGAC
rnacentral:rRNA from 1 species